rnacentral:rRNA from 1 species
CCUGGCGGCAAUAGCGCAGUGGAACCACCUGACCCCAUGCCGAACUCAGAAGUGAAAUGCUGUAGCGCCGAUGGUAGUGUGGCAUUCGCCAUGCGAGAGUAGGACACUGCCAGGC